rnacentral:rRNA from 1 species
UACGAAGGGGGCUAGCGUUGCUCGGAAUCACUGGGCGUAAAGCGCACGUAGGCGGAUCUUUAAGUCAGGGGUGAAAUCCUGGAGCUCAACUCCAGAACUGCCUUUGAUACUGGGGAUCUCGAGUCCGGGAGAGGUGAGUGGAACUCCGAGUGUAGAGGUGAAAUUCGUAGAUAUUCGGAAGAACACCAGUGGCGAAGGCGGCUCACUGGCCCGAUACUGACGCUGAGGCACGAAAGCGUGGGGAGCAAACAGG